UGGGGAAUAUUGGACAAUGGGGGCAACCCUGAUCCAGCCAUGCCGCGUGAGUGAAGAAGGCCCUCGGGUUGUAAAACUCUUUCAGCAGGGACGAUGAUGACGGUACCUGCAGAAGAAGCCCCGGCUAACUCCGUGCCAGCAGCCGCGGUAAUACGGAGGGGGCUAGCGUUGUUCGGAAUUACUGGGCGUAAAGCGCGCGUAGGCGGUGUGCAUAGUCAGAGGUGAAAGCCCAGGGCUCAACCCUGGAACUGCCUUUGAUACUAGCAUGCUAGAAUCCGUGAGAGGGUAGUGGAAUUCCUAGUGUAGAGGUGAAAUUCGUAGAUAUUAGGAAGAACACCAGUGGCGAAGGCGACUACCUGGCACGGCAUUGACGCUGAGGUGCGAAAGCGUGGGGAGCGAACAGGAUUAGAUACCCCCGUAGUCC
rnacentral:rRNA from 1 species